CGUCGCUAGAACGAACGCUGGCGGCGUGCUUAACACAUGCAAGUCGAACGCGAAAGGGACUUCGGUCCUGAGUAAAGUGGCGCACGGGUGAGUAACGCGUAGAUAACCUGUCUUCAUGUCUGGAAUAAUACGCCGAAAGGGGUACUAAUACCGGAUAUUCUUGCUUUUCAUAAGUUAUGCAAGCAAAGGUGGCCUCUGCAUAUGCUACUGCAUGAAGAGGGGUCUGCGUACCAUUAGCUAGUAGGUGGGGUAAUGGCCUACCUAGGCGACGAUGGUUAGCGGGUCUGAGAGGAUGAUCCGCCACACUGGCACUGGAACACGGGCCAGACUCCUACGGGAGGCAGCAGUGAGGAAUAUUGCGCAAUGGGGGAAACCCUGACGCAGCGACGCCGCGUGAGUGAAGGAAGGCCUUCGGGUCGUAAAGCUCUGUCAAGAGGAAAGAAGUGUACAAUGGCUAAUACCUGUUGUAUUUGACGGUACCUCUAAAGGAAGCACCGGCUAACUCCGUGCCAGCCGCAGC
rnacentral:rRNA from 1 species